UAUGAAUCGCGUUAGGGAUUGAAGCGGCAUCCUUUUGUUUAGGGUGCCUUUAGCAACCUAAACAAAAGAUACAGCGGAAAGCCCAACACUUU
rnacentral:sRNA from 1 species